rnacentral:piRNA from 1 species
UGGCUGUAUCCCCAGUAUCAAAGGGAUGUGU